UAUAACUCUAUCCCUGAAUUCAUGCACAGACUCUCCCUAUAACUCUAUCCCUGAAUUCAUGCACAGACUCUCCCUAUAACUCUAUCCCUGAAUUCAUGCACAGACUCUCCCUAUAACUCUAUCCCUGAAUUCAUACACAGACACUCCAUAUAACUCUAUCCCUGAAUUCAUGCACAGACUCUCCCUAUAACUCUAUCCCUG